CCUCUAGUGGUGAACACCAGGAAGUGCGCUCUUUAGUUCCGCUCUGUGCUACACCGUAAUCAGUCCGCCGGGAAGCCGGAGCAAGGAGAGCAGCAGCAGCAGCUCCAGUUGUCCCCGCAGCUGAAGAAAGGGUUCCCCUCAGAACAUCUCUACCCAGAGCUUCAGCUGAAGAAUCAGAACACCUGAAGACCAGAGAGGUUGCAGAGGUCCUCAGGCUGGAGCAGAAUGAAGGAGGAGAACCUUGAGAUGAAGAUGGAGGAGCAGGAGGAGAACCAGGAAAUAAAGAUUGAGAUUGAGGUGAAAGAGGAGAAUCAUGGGAUGAAUGUUGAAGUGAAGCAGGAGAAUAUGGAGCUUAAGGUUGAGGAGCACCAGGAACAAGAACCGGACCUCCACCCUCUGAACACCACCAACCGGACUGACCCAGCUGCCUCCUCUGGUUCCUCUGAUCUACAGGAACAUGAAGACCAUCAACAGACUAGUGAAGGCCUUACUGCACCAUCUUCUAAGACCAAAUCUUAUAUGAAGAUACAUCAACCGAGCCACAAUGGUGAGAGACCAUACUGCUGUGACCAGUGUGGCGCAUCUUUUAGAAAGCAAACUUAUUUAAAAGAACAUCAAGGGAUCCACACUGGAGAGAGGCCAUACAGCUGUGAUCAUUGUGGAGCAUCUUUUAAAAGAAAGAAUCAUUUAAAUGAGCAUCGAUGGAUGCACACUGGAGAGAGACCACACCGCUGUGACCAAUGUGGCGCAACUUUUAAAGCUAAAUAUUAUUUAAAAGUACAUCAAAGGAUCCACACUGGAGAGAGACCAUACCGAUGUGACCACUGUGGCGACGCGUUUAGAAAGAAAUGUUAUUUAAAUGCACAUCAACGUAUCCACACUGAAGAGAGACUAUACAGCUGUGAUCAGUGUAGAGCAACUUUUAAAUCGAAAUCCUAUUUGAAGAGGCAUCAACGGAUCCACACUGGAGAGAGACCACACAGUUGUGAUCAGUGUACUGCAAAGUUUCAAACUAAGUCUAGUUUAAAGGUGCAUCAACGAAUUCAUACUGGAGAGAGACCAUAUAGCUGUCUCCAGUGUGGAGCAAAUUUUAAAACUAAACCUGAGUUACAGAAGCAUCAAAGGAUCCAUACUGGAGAGAGACCAUACAGCUGUGACCAGUGUAGUGCAACUUUUAAAACUCAGUAUCAUGUAAAGGUGCAUCAACGGAUCCACACUGGAGAGAGACCAUACUGCUGUGACCAGUGUGGAGUAACUUUUAAAACAAAAUCUGACUUAAAGAGACAUUUACGGAUCCACACUGGAGAGAGACCAUACAGCUGUGAUCAGUGUGGGAAAACAUUUAGUGCUAAAUAUACUUUGGAUUCCCACAGACGAUUGCACACUGGAGAACAGCCUUACUGGUGUGAACUGUGUGGCAAACUCUUUAGAAUUAAGUCAGGUUUAAGAUCACAUCAGCAAACUCACUGCAACUGAGAAGGCAUUGUGCUGAAACUAAGAGGGAACUUUACUGCUAUACACUUUUUCAAAACUUAAUUUUGUCAUUUGAAGUUUAGAACUUCAAUUGCCCAUUUAAAGCAGUUGUUGAUCAAAAUAUCUUUAACUUGAAUUUGAAUUAUUAAUAAAUUCUUAUAGCUCAAGAGAAAUUGUCACUCAUUUACUCCAUAUGUGUGCAGUUUGCUGUUUGAGAGUACCAGACCUUGAAUUACCCUUUCAUCUGUUGUCUUAAUUUCAUCACCAAAUUGAGCAAUUGACAAUACUUGACAGGCUAAAGGUUAUUGGAUUAAUAUUAAAUAACAUUAAGCCAUUUAAUUCCACUACAUCACAGUCAAGUGUGACCUGCUCAUUAAAGAGAUUCACACGUUCACUCUCAUCUGUAGCAGAAGAGAAAGGCAAGAAAAGCGUAUGUUUAAUUAGGCAACACUAUGCACAGCUGUCAUGCAUCCUGCCUGUUUUCAGUUGUUCCACCUUCUGGUCUGCUCCACUCAGCUAAUUAGUGGAGAAGCUUCACCUGCACAGACACCGGUUUAGGAUGUACACAGAUAACAUGAUCAAUGGAACGCAGAUAACGUGAUUCACCAUGGCAAUGGCAGGAAAUAGGAAGCCUGGAAGUAGCAUUUCCCACAAGUGGAAUUAGAAAUCUUUAAUGAAGGUAUAUGGAGAAUAUUAAACCAUAAGAAACAAAAAUAGACAAUGCUGUUGCUAAGGAAAAAGUGAGUUGGCGGCAGAGAAUAGCUGAAAAGGUCAAUGUGUGAGUGAUAGUUAUUUGACGGAGAAUUAAAGCUCUAAUCUCACACUUCACUCUUUCAACACCCAGAGGGGAGGGGCCGCGUGGAUCAUGUGUCUAGGUGCAAACCGACAGGCAUAAAAAAAUAAUGUGACAGAAAAUCAAGAAUAAAAAUACAGAAUAAUUUGGUAAGCUCCAGCUUUUACUCAACUAAAGCAUUAGUUGGCUAUAAUCAGCAAUGCAGCUCACGAUGGGAUGAUGUGAGUUAUUAAAUUAAAUUGAAAACUUCACCCAUCCUUUUAAAAAAUUAGUUGAUGCUGAUUUUCUUGUCGUUGUGUAACUUGUGGCAACCUCACUUGAUAUUAAUCAUCUGCAGUGAAGUUAUAGAAAUCUCCGGUCAAUUGCUGCUCGACCACAAGAAUGGGAAUUAUUUUUGUUAAUAUUAUCCUCAUUAGCUUAUACAGCUUAUAUAGCUAAUGAUUGUAGUGAUAUGGAGUUAAAGCAGUGACAGCAGGUAGAUGAUAAGGAGUACCAGAAAACGGCCCAUGAAGGGGUCUUCAAUUUAGACUCGCCCCCAACAGUAAAAUGAAAAUAUCUCUCAUUGAAAAAAGUUGCAGCAGCUAGCUUCCUCCAGCAGCGUUUGCUAACAGCCGGUCCCCGUCUGAUAACACUCUGCACUCGUUACCAGGACAGAUUUAGUGGAUUUAAAGCCAAAUGCAACCAUUAAAACAGCCUAAAAUAAUCUUCCUACAUCUCAUUUUACAAUGAAAUGGCCUGGAGCAGUGGUCCAGGUGGCAGCAACCAAUCACUCAUCAGGAGGGAUUCAGCAGGUUGGGGGUUGGAAACCCUUGCCACAAACGUGACACUACAACGAGCCGGCGUCACACCAUCCUCCUCCGGAGAGAGAAUUAGAUCAAAGAAGUUUUACUUUCUACUCUAUAUGGAACUAGAAAAAGUUGUUCCUGCGUAACAGAGAAUGCUAAUCUGCUGAAUUAUUUGAGCAGAAGAUGCAGAAGAGAAAAAGUAGCUGAAAAGAAGGAAUUUGAAAACUUUGAAGAAUUAGAACAAUCGGAAGAACUUAAAGCUAUUUGCAUUGAUUUCAAUUGGAGCAGCCAAAAAUAAUAAUAAUUGCACAAAAAGUGAAAUAUUUCAAAAAGUCUAAAAGUUAGCAUAACUAUGAGAUAUAGCAGUCAUGUUGGGAAUGAGCCGAACGUUUUGACACCAAAAUUGUUGAAUUUUCUAUACAGCAUUCUGAGUGAAAAUGUGCAUUGAGGGUCAAAUACCUGCUGUGCAAAGUCAAAGCUGUAGAGCAUCCUGAUCUUCUUGCUAGCAGGUGGGGAGGGACCAAAGGACAACCCAUGGUGGCUGCAGGUCUUCUGGCGGGCGGCGGUAUAGGAAUAUUAAAACCGUUUUAUUUUAGUACAUGGUUGGUAAAGUUCAGGUGAACUUGUGUGCUUUGCUGAAAGUCAUGAAACAGACCCAGGGUGAUGCUGGGUUCUGCUUUGAACCCGGCUCAGUCAGAUCUGUUGGUGAUUAAUUUAAUCAGUUUUAGGUUUCAGCCGUUGCCUCAGGCUCCUCGGUGGUUUUGGCCGUUUUAGAUUUAACGGCUACCUCCAUACAGUCGAUCACAACAUUCUGUUGUCUCAGAGGGACAGUUGUUGUUUGGUGUGACGCCUUUUCUGUGUCUACGGGGGAAAACUCUCCUUCCUUAAAACAGAGUUUUUGUGGAGUACCUCAAGGCUCUAUUCUGGGCCCUGUAAUGUUUGCACCUGGUAGUUUUGCCUUCUUGGUUAUAU